GGGUUGUGAGGUUAAGCGACUAAGCGUACACGGUGGAUGCCCUGGCAGUCAGAGGCGAUGAAGGGCGUGCUAAUCUGCGAUAAGCGCCGGUAAGGUGAUAUGAACCGUUAUAACCGGCGAUACCCGAAUGGGGAAACCCAGUGUGAUUCGUCACACUAUCAUUAACUGAAUCCAUAGGUUAAUGAGGCGAACCGGGGGAACUGAAACAUCUAAGUACCCCGAGGAAAAGAAAUCAACCGAGAUUCCCCCAGUAGCGGCGAGCGAACGGGGAGGAGCCCAGAGCCUGAAUCAGCAUGUGUGUUAGUGGAAGCGUCUGGAAAGGCGCGCGAUACAGGGUGACAGCCCCGUACACAAAAGCGUAUGUGCUGUGAGCUCGAUGAGUAGGGCGGGACACGUGGUAUCCUGUCUGAAUAUGGGGGGACCAUCCUCCAAGGCUAAAUACUCCUGACUGACCGAUAGUGAACCAGUACCGUGAGGGAAAGGCGAAAAGAACCCCGGCGAGGGGAGUGAAAAAGAACCUGAAACCGUGUACGUACAAGCAGUGGGAGCACCCUUUGGGGUGUGACUGCGUACCUUUUGUAUAAUGGGUCAGCGACUUAUAUUCUGUAGCAAGGUUAACCGAAUAGGGGAGCCGGAGGGAAACCGAGUCUUAAUUGGGCGUUAAGUUGCAGGGUAUAGACCCGAAACCCGGUGAUCUAGCCAUGGGCAGGUUGAAGGUUGGGUAACACUAACUGGAGGACCGAACCGACUAAUGUUGAAAAAUUAGCGGAUGACCUGUGGCUGGGGGUGAAAGGCCAAUCAAACCGGGAGAUAGCUGGUUCUCCCCGAAAGCUAUUUAGGUAGCGCCUCGUGAAUUCAUCUCCGGGGGUAGAGCACUGUUUCGGCUAGGGGGUCAUCCCGACUUACCAACCCGAUGCAAACUGCGAAUACCGGAGAAUGUUAUCACGGGAGACACACGGCGGGUGCUAACGUCCGUCGUGAAGAGGGAAACAACCCAGACCGCCAGCUAAGGUCCCAAAGUCAUGGUUAAGUGGGAAACGAUGUGGGAAGGCCCAGACAGCCAGGAUGUUGGCUUAGAAGCAGCCAUCAUUUAAAGAAAGCGUAAUAGCUCACUGGUCGAGUCGGCCUGCGCGGAAGAUGUAACGGGGCUAAACCAUGCACCGAAGCUGCGGCAGCGACACUCAGGUGUUGUUGGGUAGGGGAGCGUUCUGUAAGCCUGUGAAGGUGGCCUGUGAGGG
rnacentral:rRNA from 1 species